UCCAGGAGAAAGUUCUCAGUCAGUGCACAGCAUGGACAUGAGGGUCCCUGCUCAGCUCCUGGGGCUCCUGCUGCUCUGGAUCCCAGAUGCCAGAGGUGGUAUCCAGAUGACCCAGUCUCCAUCCUCCCUCUCUACAUCUCUAGGAGAGAGGGUAACCAUCACUUGCAGAGCCAGUGAGGAAAUUAGGAAUUGGUUAGCAUGGUAUCAACAGAAACCAGGAAAUGUUCCUAAGCCCCUGAUCUACCAAGCAUCCAAUUUGGAAUCAGGUGUCCCAUCGAGGUUCAGUGGCAGUGGAUCUGGGACAGAGUUCACUCUCACCAUCAGCAGCCUGCAGCCUGAAGAUGUUGCCACUUAUUACUGUCAACAGUAUAGGAAUUGGCCUUUCACAGUGAUACAAGUCAUAACAAAAACCUCCCAGGGCAGCAAAAGGGAGAGGCUGGUUGCUGCUUCUCCUGCUGCCUCCACCUGCUGA